rnacentral:lncRNA from 1 species
GAAACCUUUAAACUAGAUGUUCUAAACAAGGAAAAGCUUAUUUUUCUUUUGCAACACUAGUCACAAUAUAAGCUAGAGAAUGAGGAACCCAGGCAGCCAAAGGGGACCCUCCUACAGGACCUUUCUCAGAUCUCAGGGCACUCUUCCUUGGGGGGCACUGUAGACUCGGUCAGGGUCAUAUCCUCCUGGAGACACUAGAGUCAAUGGAGCAGCAGACAGAUGCGGCAGAUGACCCCCUAGUCCUACUUGGUACCCAUUUCAUCUGUCAGCCCCAGAGACUUGGAGGAAACUCCAGAAACUGACCCUAGGACCUCAAACUCCCAUGAACCAGAUGCAAGGUGCAGUAUUCUGGGUGUUCAACAAUAGGGACAAGCUGGCGAGGGAAAGGGGCUCUGACGUGGGAAACAUCAGUCCAGACUAGAAGCUCAUAUGAUAGCAGUCACGGUAACCAGGGCCACCCAGGGAGCACCCAUCUGUGGGUGAAAAGCCAAAGAGAGGAUGCUUUGGGCAUGAAUGUCUGAGUCACUGGCAGAAGAAAUGUUCCCACCUGAAAAGCCCACCCAGCCCCUACCCACGGUGUACAUAAGAGGGACACUGGAGGUGGGAGGUGGGGAGGAAGUUGUGGGUUGUGAAACACCGGGCAUUUCUGGUCAUUCACAUUUCUGGGCCAGCGAAACCGCUGCUGUCCCUCCUUACCCCUGACCUUGGGUGGGUGUGGACGCUAUGGAGCCAGACCAACUGGGCGUGCCGUCUCCCAGGGCUUCGUCCUUGAGAUGGCUUCACCUUGCCUCAGUUUCCUUAUCUGUCCGAGGAGAUAACAGGAGCGCCUCUGCAGGGAAUUGUUGGGAGUAAACAUUGAUGAGGUGCCCAGAGUGGUGCCUGACCUUUAGCUAAUGUUGCCUGAAUGUCUGUUGAUUACUUCUAAGGUUUGUUUUAAGCUGUCACUCCCUCUGAGUCAAUGGUCCUUUUUCCUUGCUAUCUACAAUACUUAGUAGUAAAAAUUCUGACCCCGAAGUCGGAUCCUGGAGGCAGUGCCUGAUUCAAAAUAAGCACCCUUCUACUCACAUUGCCUAUAUUUAUUUUCUUAUUUUUAUUAUUUAUUUGAAAUACAGAGAGAUAGAUAGAUAGAUAGAUAGAUAGAUAGAUAGAUAGAUAGACAGAUACAGAGAGACAUCUCCCAUUCGCUGGUUCACUCCCCAACAGGGAGGGCCAGGGACAGGA